rnacentral:rRNA from 1 species
GACGAACGCUGGCGGCGUGCUUAACACAUGCAAGUCGAACGGAAAGGCCCUGCUUUUGUGGGGUGCUCGAGUGGCGAACGGGUGAGUAACACGUGAGUAACCUGUCCUUGACUUUGGGAUAACUUCAGGAAACUGGGGCUAAUACCGGAUAGGAGCUCCUGCUGCAUGGUGGUGGUUGGAAAGUUUCGGCGGUUGGGGAUGGACUCGCGGCUUAUCAGCUUGUUGGUGGGGUAGUGGCUUACCAAGGCUUUGACGGGUAGCCGGCCUGAGAGGGUGGACGGGCACAUGGGGACUGAGAGACGGCCCAGUCUCCUACCGGAGGCAGCAGUGGAGAAUCUUGCGGAGUGGGCGGAAGCCUGAUGCAGCAACGCCGCGUGCGGGAUGACGGCCUUCGGGUUGUAAACCACUGUCGACUGUGACGAAGAGUUCGUGACGGUAAUGGGUAAAGAAGCACCGGCUAACUACGUG